rfam:Picea glauca, whole genome shotgun sequence.
ACAUGCCUACAACAUAGCGGUAAUGCACUGGAUCCCAUUAGAACUUUGCAGUUAAGCGCCCUCGAGCUAGAUUAGUAUUGGGAUGGGUGACCACCCAGAAAGUCCUAGUGUUUUACAUGCC